rnacentral:lncRNA from 1 species
AUCCUGGGGUGAGAAUCACAUCCAGUUUAUACCUCCCUGUGCACACUUGUAUAAAACAACUAUAAGACACACGAGAGAUCUGGAAGCCAGUUCCUCAUAAGUAAGAAUUGGUCAGGCUGCAUUUGUAUCCUGGGUCCACAAGACAUCGUUUCCUUAAAACCAAUCCCCCUGAUUUUGCUAAGUGUCUGCAAGCCUAAUAUUUCAUGGAUGUUUGACAAGGACCCCGUCUUUAGCUGAACUAAGGAGAAAGUCCUGCAACACACACAUGGAGCUCAGC